rnacentral:rRNA from 1 species
GAUAGAGGGUGCAAACGUUGCUCGGAAUUACUGGGCGUAAAGCGCGUGUAGGUGGAUUGGUGUGUCAGAUGUGAAAGCCCUGGGCUCAACCCAGGAACAGCACCUGAAACUACCAGUCUUGAGUGGUGGAGAGGGAAGUGGAAUUCCUGGUGUAGAGGUGAAAUUCGUAGAUAUCAGGAGGAACACCAGUGGCGAAGGCGGCUUCCUGGACACCAACUGACGCUGAGACGCGAAAGCGUGGGGAGCAAACGGG